rnacentral:rRNA from 1 species
UAACGCGAAGAAACCUUACCAGGUCUUGACAUCUUUUGCUAACCUAAGAGAUUAAGCGUUCCCUUCGGGGACGGAAUGACAGGUGGUACAUGGUUGUCGUCAGCUCGUGUCGUGAGAUGUUGGGUUAAGUCCCGCAACGAGCGCAACCCUUAUUGUCAGUUGCCAGCAUUUAGUUGGGCACUCUGGCGAGACUGCCGGUGACAAACCGGAGGAAGGUGGGGAUGACGUCAAAUCAUCAUGCCCCUUAUGACCUGGGCUACACACGUGCUACAAUGGACGGUACAACGAGUCGCGAAACCGCGAGGUCAAGCUAAUCUCUUAAAGCCGUUCUCAGUUCGGAUUGUAGGCUGCAACUCGCCUACAUGAAGUUGGAAUCGCUAGUAAUCGUGGAUCAGC